rnacentral:rRNA from 1 species
GACGAACGCUGGCGGCGUGCUUAACACAUGCAAGUCGAACGGAAAGGCCCUGCUUUUGUGGGGUGCUCGAGUGGCGAACGGGUGAGUAACACGUGAGUAACCUGCCCUUGACUUUGGGAUAACUUCAGGAAACUGGGGCUAAUACCGGAUAGGAGCUCCUGCUGCAUGGUGGGUGUUGGAAAGUUUCGGCGGUUGGGGAUGGACUCGCGGCUUAUCAGCUUGUUGGUGGGGUAGUGGCUUACCAAGGCUUUGACGGGUAGCCGGCCUGAGAGGGUGACCGGCCACAUUGGGACUGAGAUACGGCCCAGACUCCUACGGGAGGCAGCAGUGGGGAAUAUUGCACAAUGGGCGGAAGCCUGAUGCAGCAACGCCGCGUGCGGGAUGACGGCCUUCGGGUUGUAAACCGCUUUCGCCUGUGACGAAGCGUAAGUGACGGUAAUGGGUAAAGAAGCACCGGCUAACUACGUG